GCUAGUAGGUGGGGUAACGGCUCACCUAGGCGACGAUCCCUAGCUGGUCUGAGAGGAUGACCAGCCACACUGGAACUGAGACACGGUCCAGACUCCUACGGGAGGCAGCAGUGGGGAAUAUUGCACAAUGGGCGCAAGCCUGAUGCAGCCAUGCCGCGUGUGUGAAGAAGGCCUUCGGGUUGUAAAGCACUUUCAGCGGGGAGGAAGGCGAUAAGGUUAAUAACCUUGUCGAUUGACGUUACCCGCAGAAGAAGCACCGGCUAACUCCGUGCCAGCAGCCGCGGUAAUACGGAGGGUGCAAGCGUUAAUCGGAAUUACUGGGCGUAAAGCGCACGCAGGCGGUCUGUCAAGUCGGAUGUGAAAUCCCCGGGCUUAACCUGGGAACUGCAUUCGAAACUGGCAGGCUAGAGUCUUGUAGAGGGGGGUAGAAUUCCAGGUGUAGCGGUGAAAUGCGUAGAGAUCUGGAGGAAUACCGGUGGCGAAGGCGGCCCCCUGGACAAAGACUGACGCUCAGGUGCGAAAGCGUGGGGAGCAAACAGGAUUAGAUACCCUGGUAGUCCACGCCGUAAACGAUGUCGAUUUGGAGGUUGUGCCCUUGAGGCGUGGCUUCCGGAGCUAACGCGUUAAAUCGACCGCCUGGGGAGUACGGCCGCAAGGUUAAAACUCAAAUGAAUUGACGGGGGCCCGCACAAGCGGUGGAGCAUGUGGUUUAAUUCGAUGCAACGCGAAGAACCUUACCUGGUCUUGACAUCCACAGAACUUUCCAGAGAUGGAUUGGUGCCUUCGGGAACUGUGAGACAGGUGCUGCAUGGCUGUCGUCAGCUCGUGUUGUGAAAUGUUGGGUUAAGUCCCGCAACGAGCGCAACCCUUAUCCUUUGUUGCCAGCGGUUAGGCC
rnacentral:rRNA from 1 species